rnacentral:rRNA from 1 species
CUCUGUGGCCAUGCCGAAGGGGAAACACCCGAUCCCAUUCCGAACUCGGAAGUUAAGCCCUUCAGGGCCGAUGGUACUGCCCUCGCAAGGGGGUGGGAGAGUAGGACGCCGCAGAGG